rnacentral:rRNA from 1 species
AGACUACCUCAUAGCGGGGGAUAACUAUUGGAAACGAUAGCUAAUACCGCAUAAGAGAGACUAACGCAUGUUAGUAAUUUAAAAGGGGCAAUUGCUCCACUAUGAGAUGGACCUGCGUUGUAUUAGCUAGUUGGUGAGGUAAAGGCUCACCAAGGCGACGAUACAUAGCCGACCUGAGAGGGUGAUCGGCCACACUGGGACUGAGACACGGCCCAG